UUAUCAUUGAAGAAUAAAUUCACUUAUAUUGCUAGAAUUCCUUGGAAAUGGAUAUUGUAUUUCAUGAGUAACUGAUCAAAAUAAUUCUAUUGACACCGCUUUUACAGGUUCCAACUAGUAUGAUGUUAGAAUUGUAUGAUGCAUGAUUCGAUUCAUACAAUUUAAUAUGAGUUUCAACCAAAAUAAUUUGAAUUGUGUUGUUUGAAAAUUGGGUGUGCUGUUGAAUUGAGAAUUGAGUAGUUCAUAGGUUUUUGUUUACAUAAUGUAUUGGAAUGACGCCUUUUUCAACUACUCUAUGAUGAAACAAAAAUAGGGCAAUUGGUUAUACUGAUAUACGUGGCGUUAUAUAUAUAUGUAAUAUAUAAUUUAUUUAUAUUGAUCCUGUGAAGUAUUUGAUUGCAAUUGCUAUAGUGUUCUAACAUAUGUGCGAGGUUUGGAAAUUCCUUUACAAUAAUUUGGGUUAUAUUUCAUGAUAAGCAUCCGGUGGAUCUUGUAUGAGAAGGGAAAAAGAAAUGGAAGGAAAAGUGGGAAAAAAAAACUUUGUUAAUAGUUUCAUGUGGAAAAAAACAUGCAAAGAGUGAACUGCUAAUACAUGUAUUAUCUUAUGCAGUUUUAUCUCUUCUUUUGUGGAGAUUUUGUUGGAAUUUUGUGUUUCAUUUGUUGUGGCGCGUUAUAGAAACCAAAAACACCCUUUUCGUAGUUUUUAGAUAAUUAGCGAUCAACGAUUCCAACUUCCUUUACUCCAUUCAAAAAGUUGUUAAAAAUAAUUGAUCAAAAUUUCCAAUGAUCCGGUUUGUGCAUGUUAUUCAAAAUAAUGUUACUUUUAGGAGUUGUUAGUUUUUCGUUUGUAUUUUUUUCCCUUUAUGUUUUUGGCGCUAACCCUUGCAGGCAAUGGCACAUAUAGACAUGGUUAAUCAUUUAAGGUAAUCUCCUUAACUUUUUGAUUUUAUUUUUUACAUUCAGGACAAUGCAUUGUUUAGUUUGGGGGGAGAAAAUACUUAUUUUGAGAAGAAUUUAUAUAUUUGCUUGCAGCUAUGAGUUAGUUAUUUUGUUAAAAAAAAAAUAAAAAUUUAGUGCUCAUGGUAUUCUUUUGUUCUAUACAUUGAGUGAUUGGGCAUACUUGUGGUAUUUAAUUACUUUAACUCGAGAAUUGUUUUGAAGUUUGAUAUGCUAGCUACUUUGUUAAAGUAUUCCGUGUGUUCAUAUUUGGAAAUCAUUGCACUGCACUUCGGCCACAUGAAUAUGAUUUUUAGUUGAUAAGUGGGUAUGACUUGAAAAUCUUGAGGAAUGAUAGUGGAGACUUUUAACCCUGUGAGUUUUGUGCCAAUCGUUUAUUGGAGGGUCAUUAUACAUCUACUCUUAAUUUUUCUUUGGAAGCGCAUUAAUUUGUUGUUUAGUCUCAUUAUUUUUUCAUUUUUGGUUGAAUGCUGAGAACAAAUCAAUUUGUUAUCACACUUUUUACUCCCUCGAGGAUCAUGCAUCGUUUAGGUUGGGGGGAGAAAAUACUUAUUUUGGGAAGAAUUUAUAUGUUUGCUUGCUACUAUGAGUUAGUUGUUUUGUUUAAAAAAAGAAAAAAGGUGUGCAUGGUAAUUUAUUGUUCUAUGCAUUGAGUGAUUUGGCAUACUAGUAGUAUUUUAUUGCUUUAACUUGAGAAAUUGUGUUGAAGUUUGAUAUGCUAGCUACUUUGUUAAAGUAUUUCAUGUGUUCGUAUUUGGAAAUAAUUGCACUGCACUUUAGCCACAUGAAUAUGAUUUUUAGUUGAUAAGUGGAUAUGACUUGAAAAUCUUGAAGAAUGAUAGUGGAGACUUUUAACCCUGUGAGUUUUGUGCCAAUCAUUUAUUGGAGGGUUACUAUACAUCUACUCUUAAUUUUCUUUGGAAGGACAUUAAUUUGUUGUUUAGUCUCAUUAUUUCUUCAUUUUGGUUGAAUGCUGAGAAUAAAUCAAUUUGUUAUGACACUUUUAUUCCCUUGAGAUCAUGAAAGUUGAAGGACCAUACUAAUUCUUGAGAGAUGAUUUUAGGCCAUCUUUGUUUCUUUGAGCCUUUUAUUUAUUUUUCUUUCUUUUAUUAUUAAUUCAUGAACCAUUAGAAACCAAUUUGAGCCUUUAUUUUAGCCUUUCUUUGUUUAACCCCACAACCCAUACUUUCUUUUUACUUUUGUGGAUAUGAUGGGAUUAUUUGAGUUUGACAAUGGCAAAUUUGUUUGAAAAAAAAAGAAAAAAGAAAAAAAAAGGUGAAAAGCUGAAAAAAAUAAGAAGAAAUAAAUUGUGUUCAACUAAGGGAAAAAAAAAAACAAAAAGAAAAAAAAAAAAGCAGGAGGAAGUUGAAAAAAACAAAAAGAAAAGAAAUAGAAAGAGCAAGGCAUUUGGAAUAAUGCUCUAAUUGUGUUUAUUUUUAUGCCAAUUGUCUCUCAGACGUCCUUUUUUUUAUUCACCUUUGGCUUUUUAUUAUUUUUUCGUAAUUCCUCAACCCAAGCUUUACAACCAAAUAAAAGUCCUAUUUGAUCUUGAGUGUGGUAUAGUUUACAAGUGGACAUGAUGGGUUGGGGUGAUGGUGUGGUAAUUUUAAUUCUUAGUAUUUGAUAUUCCAUUCAUGAGACUAUUUAUUUAUUCUUUCAUUAUAGCGUUUUUCCAAAAAAUUAGUAUGCGGGAUAUUUUGCCUUUGAUUUACAUUAUUCUACUUGCAUAUAUUGAGAGUAAUUUUUACACCAUAUUCUGAGUGAUUUAUUUGUUGAGUGCAAUAACUGGUGAGAUUUGAGUCGAAGCAUGUUUCAGAAAGAGAUUUGGGUUAUAUUUCACUUUAAGGCUAAGGUUGUGUAUGUGUUGGCUAAACUUUUUCACACACGCCAAAUUCUGAAUGUCAUGAGAUAUCUUUACUUGCUGCUAGUGUCUUGAACUUUGAUUGGUUGUCUUGUUAAGGUUGUGAAAUUCAUGACUUGUUCUUGAACUUUAGCAUGAGAACGAAAGAAAUCCUUCGAGUAAAGAAAAUUUUUGACGUUUGUGGGUAACACUUCUAGAAAUUUUAUUUCUCAGUAUUUGAUAUUCCAUUCAUGAGACUAUUUAUUUAUUCUUUCAUGUUAGCGUUUUUCAAAAAAAUUAGUAUGCGGGAUAUUUUGCCUUUGAUUUACAUUGUUCUACUCGCAUAUAUUGAGAGCAAUUUUUGCACCAUAUUCCGAGUGAUUUAUUUGUUGAGUGCAAUAACUGGUGAGAUUUGAGUCGAAGCAUGUUUCAGAAAGAGAUUUGGGUUAUAUUUCACUUUAAGGCUAAGGUUGUGUCUGUGUUGGUUGAACUUUUUUCACACACUCCAAAUUUUGAAUGUCAUGCAAUAUCUUUACUUGCUGCUAGUCUUUUGAACUUUGAUUGAUUAUCUUGUUAAGGUUGUGAAAUUCAUGACUGGUUCUUUAACCUUGGCAUGAGAAUGAAAGAAGUCGUUUUAGUAAAGAAAUUUUUGGAUAUUUGUGGGUAACAUCUUUGGAAACACGAGACUUUAACUCGUCCAUGAGGGCUAAUCUAUUGGAUUAAGGGCUUGUUGCAUGUGCUAAAUUCAAUCGUGAUUUAUUGCGGAAGUGGUUUAGAGUAGUUGCUUUUAUUUUUCUUUUUGAUUUUAUUUUAGUCGCCUUAAUUGCUAGGUUCUAAAAUUAAAGCUGGUUGGGAGGUGUGACGAAUGCUUAAAAUUACGUAGUUAUUCUAGGAAUUUUGGAUAUUAUAUUCAUUCUCUCAAUUUAUAUUUAAUUGUGAUUUAAUGUAUUUAAUUUAAAUUUUUAGAAAAACUACAUUUGAGCCAUCAACAAUAUAAAUUGCUCAACCAGGCCCAUAAGACUCGGUUUGCUUUGAAAUCAUCUCAUAGCAUCCACAAAACUUCUCUCAAAGAUAAUAGCAAGAACACUAGAUCUGACUGUAAUGUUGUCAAGGGUGCUUGGGCUGCUCGAAUUCAGCGUAACAAGAUGUUUUACUCAGGAAAUUCGUUUAUUUUUUCUUUAUUUUGGAGAGGUGGUUCUACAUGAUGCUGAUCCCAGUAGGAGGACCUUCAUUCAUUCAUGUUUGAGCCGUGAAUUUUUAGACCCUGUUGUUGCUGCUACACUGACUUUCGAAUUCUUAACAAGAGAAAACUUUUAACUAAUUUUCCUACAUUACUCCCUUAGUUUUUCCCAUUAAUGCUAAAGCUCAUGAAAUGUAGAGAAAUAAGAAAAAUCGUUUCUAAGUGUGCUUCUGGCGUUGAUGUCUCUUGGAUGAUUUGUUCAGCUUAUUUCCAUCUCUCGUUGACUUACCAAGGAGUGGGUGGAAUUAUUGAAUUGGCCCCAGGUUACUUUCCUGCCGUAUACAACAGUAUUAAGAAAGCAGGAGGGCUUUGUAUUGCCGAUAAGGUUCAAUCUAGGUUUGCUCACACUGGGAGCCAUUUUUGGGGAUUUGAGACCCAAGGCAUUGUGCCUGACAUAGUGACAAUGGCAAAGGUGAACAAGCUUCAUGAAGUGUGUUGAAGAUUUCAGAGCUAGGGUUUAUCUGCAACUUAACAAGAUUUUUCAAUGCUCAGUGGCUUCGAUUUCUCAAUCUCAAACCUCUAGUGGUCUUCUUUUACUGGUAUUGAUUUCUCUAUCCAUUGAUUGCUUUAUGAUCACACACCCUCAUCAAACUCUUAAUCACCACUGUCACUAUCUCUCCUCUCUCUCUUGAUGUGUAUUUUGCUAUAGCAUUGCAUGAUGUCAAUAUUUUCACUUUGACUCUAUUCUUGAUGCAUGUCACAAUAUUUUCACUCUGUAUAGUUAUUUUGAAAUUCAUGUUCUGUUUUAGCUUUAAUAUGUGUUUCAGCUUUAAUAUGUGCAUUGGUUCCCCUACUUACAGUGAAAACUUCUACUCUAUUUAUAGACCAAAUUUUCUCUUAUGAGGUAAAAAAGUUAUUUUAGUAGAAUUGAGACAAGUUUUGUUUUGGUAUUACUCUGAGGCUUCUAUUGGAAAAGCUUGAAAAUCAAAGCAUUCAAUGUAUAUUGUGUCAUGGCAGGCUGCAACUUGCCUACAUCUUUGCUGGUGGAUGUACAAAUAAUUUUCCAUCACUACCGCCAUAAAUUUUA